AGUGAACGCUGGCGGUAGGCCUAACACAUGCAAGUCGAACGGCAGCACAGUAAGAGCUUGCUCUUACGGGUGGCGAGUGGCGGACGGGUGAGGAAUACAUCGGAAUCUACUUUUUCGUGGGGGAUAACGUAGGGAAACUUACGCUAAUACCGCAUACUACCUACGGGUGAAAGCAGGGGAUCUUCGGACCUUGCGCGAUUGUAUGAGCCGAUGUCGGAUUAGCUAGUUGGCGGGGUAAAGGCCCACCAAGGCGACGAUCCGUAGCUGGUCUGAGAGGAUGAUCAGCCACACUGGAACUGAGACACGGUCCAGACUCCUACGGGAGGCAGCAGUGGGGAAUAUUGGACAAUGGGCGCAAGCCUGAUCCAGCCAUACCGCGUGGGUGAAGAAGGCCUUCGGGUUGUAAAGCCCUUUUGUUGGGAAAGAAAAGCAGCAGGUUAAUACCCCGCUGUUCUGACGGUACCCAAAGAAUAAGCACCGGCUAACUUCGUG
rnacentral:rRNA from 1 species